GCCUUUGUAGCUCAGUUGGUUAGAUCGCUGCACCGGAAUCGCAGGACCGCAGCUUCAAUUCCUGCCAGAGGAC
rnacentral:tRNA from 1 species